AUCAUUACAGAGUUAUCCAACUCCCAAACCCAUGUGAACUUAUCUCUUUGUUGCCUCGGCGCAAGCUACCCGGGACCUCGCGCCCCGGGCGGCCCGCCGGCGGACAAACCAAAACUCUUGUUAUCUUAGUUGAUUAUCUGAGUGUCUUAUUUAAUAAGUCAAAACUUUCAACAACGGAUCUCUUGGUUCUGGCAUCGAUGAAGAACGCAGCGAAAUGCGAUAAGUAAUGUGAAUUGCAGAAUUCAGUGAAUCAUCGAAUCUUUGAACGCACAUUGCGCCCAUUAGUAUUCUAGUGGGCAUGCCUGUUCGAGCGUCAUUUCAACCCCUAAGCACAGCUUAUUGUUGGGAACCUACGGCUUCGUAGUUCCUCAAAGACAUUGGCGGAGUGGCAGUGGUCCUCUGAGCGUAGUAAUCUUUUAUCUCGCUUCUGUUAGGUGCUGCCCCCCCGGCCGUAAAACCCCCAAUUUUUUCUGGUUGACCUCGGAUCAGGUAGGAAUACCCGCUGAACUUAAGCUUAA
rnacentral:rRNA from 1 species